AUAAUCUGAUCAAACAUUAUUCAGCUUUAAAUAUUGUUCAGCUUUAAAGUUACUGUGCAACUGUGUAAUAAAAAUGUGUGCUCACGACUUUGGCCUUGAGAGCGAUAAGAAGCGAUCGCCUCAUCCUGCAGGCGAAAGAUAUCUGCAAGCGAAGAACACCCAAGGCCGCUUUCCUUUUAUGGAGUUGUUUUUCUGCUAAUGCAGCACUUUCCUCACAACCCCCUCCUGUAAGUUUUAGAGAAUAUAUACCCAUCCUCACAGCAAAUAUGAGGAAUCUCUUGAUGUGAGCUGUUUUUGAGAGGUUGUCUCUGUCUCAAUAAAAGUUCACUGAUUCCCCCAUCUGCUGCAGGUGUCCGGUUGUCUUCAUUCUCCGCCAGCCUGGAUCCGCUCCAGGUCAACUGGAACGGGGGGGAGGACAUCGGCCGUGGUUUGAGUGAACGGAGUUUGGACAAAAGCUGUGUGCACACAAAAACAAGGUAAGCAGACCUUUUAUUUCUGCUAUAUUGAACAUUAUAAAAAUACUUAGUGUCCAAACUCCUAGUAAUUCAUAACCAAAAUUGUCUGGCUUACUUAAGGCUUGUUGAGAAUCAGACAAGUGAAUAAGAGAUAAGUGAAUAAGAAAUAAGUGAAUAAGUGAAUAAAGAUAAGAGUGAACUGAGGUCUGACCACGGUUGCAGCCGACGGGUUGCUCUCCGGUGUCGGAUAAAUACCUCAGUGCAGGUCUGGGACCUUGAAAGGGUUUAUUAGUAACGCCUUUCUAAACAAAUUAAAAGGUUAAAGGCCUUGAGAAUAUUUUUUAGUAAUAUUCUCUAAACUACAGAAGGGUUAGGAAGGCCCAGAGGACUUUAUUAGAAAAGAUCCUCUAAAACUUAAAAAGGAGAAGUACUGGUUGGAGUCCAAAGGAGGGGUCCCUUUGAUCAAUAGGAGAAAACGGAUCUCUUCUUAAAACCCCGAUGAUUUUAGUGUUUUAAAUGUUUUGAUGUUCUGUUUGAUAUUGGACACACAUAAAUACACGCUGAAUGCUUGCUGUGGAACACUGGGCAGGACAGUUUGGUUCUCCGUUGUUCACAGAUUACACAAUUAAAGGAACUAGGUUCCUCUUUUGGUUAAAAUAAUACACCACACAUAGAAUUUUUUUACACAUUUAUUACAUACAUAAGGAGGGUAAUGAGUGACUGCAGGUAAUGUAUGAAGUGUGAAUGAGACGUGUGAACAAGGUGACAACCAACUAGCACCCCUAUCAGGAAGCUCUAGGCAAGGUUACCCGCCAGACUCCGGUUUGGUAGAAGCCUGGUAACACCUGAAGGGAUAUUUCAGUGCUGACUCACCUUUAAAGCAGCGCCCCAGCUGUUAGUGCCUAACAGAGGCAGAAACCCAGCUGGCCCAAAUUCUCCUUUAAAAUCAAUAAAUAGAACAUAAAUUACCGGUGUGUGUAAAUAAGUUGUAUAAAUCUGUUAGAUCUGAAACUCCUGCUAAAAAACUUCCUCUCUACAACUCUUUUCUCUUCUCUCCCUCUUUCUCUCAGUUGGGAUUCUGUGUGUGUAUGUGUGCUGGAGAAAUAAAAAAAAAGGAAAAGGGUCUCUCUCUCUGUCUCUGUGAGAGGAAAAAGGUGGGGGCCGAGUGAGCCCGCGGGGCCGAGCGGGUCCGCGGGAGCGAGCGUGUAUGCUGUAUGAGGAAGAAGGGAGUGAGAGGGAGCGAGUGAAAAGAGUAAUCGAGUAUUUGGUGAUUUUUUUUAUUAUUUCAGAGGCACUGGGUAAGAGUUUUGACUUUAGCUGUGAGAGUUGUGAAAAGAGCAGGUUUUUCUUUUGUUGUAGACUGUGAGUAAUCGGUGUUUUUCUGCCUAUUGUGCUGCGUGGAAGACACAGAAGUGUAGAAAUGUUUGUGGUUUAUCUUUGUUUGACGUUUUAUAUAGAGUUGGUUGAUUCAGGGUGAUUUCUCCCGUUUAAGGGAGGAGUUGCAUUGUGGUUAUGUUAAAGCUUUGCUGUAG